rnacentral:rRNA from 1 species
GACGAGCGCUGGCGGCGUGCUUAACACAUGCAAGUCGAACGGUGAAGCAGAGCUUGCUCUGUGGACCAGAGGCGAAUGGGUGAGUAACACGUGAGCAACCUGCCCCUGACUCUGGGAUAAGCGCUCGGAACGGCGGCUACUACUGGCCAUGAGCUGUGCCCGCAAGGUCCGUAGUUGGAAAGAUUUUUCCGUCUGGGAUGGGCUCACGGCCAAUCAGCUUGUUGGUGAGGUAAUGGCUCACCGAGGUGUCGACGCGUAGCCGGCCUGAGCAGGUGACCGGCCACACUGGGACUGAGACACGGCCCAGACUCCUACGGGAGGCAGCAGUGGAGAAUGGUGCACAAUGGGCGAAAGCCUGAUGCAGCAACGCCGCGUGGGGGAUGACGGCCUUCGGGUUGUAAACCUAUUUUAGCAGGGAAGAAGCGAAAGUGACGGUACCUGCAGAAAAAGCGCCGGCUAACUACGUG